CUUGCUUCUAUGACGUUAGCGGCGGACGGGUGAGUAACACGUGGGCAACCUGCCUGUAAGACUGGGAUAACUUCGGGAAACCGAAGCUAAUACCGGAUAGGAUCUUCUCCUUCAUGGGAGAUGAUUGAAAGAUGGUUUCGGCUAUCACUUACAGAUGGGCCCGCGGUGCAUUAGCUAGUUGGUGAGGUAACGGCUCACCAAGGCGAACGAUGCAUAGCCGACCUGAGAGGGUGAUCGGCCACACUGGGACUGAGACACGGCCCAGACUCCUACGGGAGGCAGCAGUAGGGAAUCUUCCGCAAUGGACGAAAGUCUGACGGAGCAACGCCGCGUGAGUGAUGAAGGCUUUCGGGUCGUAAAACUCUGUUGUUAGGGAAGAACAAGUACAAGAGUAACUGCUCGUACCUUGACGGUACCUAACCAGAAAGCCACGGCUAACUACGUGCCAGCAGCCGCGGUAAUACGUAGGUGGCAAGCGUUAUCCGGAAUUAUUGGGCGUAAAGCGCGCGCAGGCGGUUUCUUAAGUCUGAUGUGAAAGCCCACGGCUCAACCGUGGAGGGUCAUUGGAAACUGGGGAACUUGAGUGCAGAAGAGAAAAGCGGAAUUCCACGUGUAGCGGUGAAAUGCGUAGAGAUGUGGAGGAACACCAGUGGCGAAAGCGGCUUUUUUUGGUCUGUAACUGACGCU
rnacentral:rRNA from 1 species